UACGUAGGGUGCGAGCGUUGUCCGGAAUUAUUGGGCGUAAAGAGCUUGUAGGCGGUUUGUCGCGUCUGCUGUGAAAAUCCGGGGCUCAACCCCGGACUUGCAGUGGGUACGGGCAGACUAGAGUGCGGUAGGGGAGAAUGGAAUUCCUGGUGUAGCGGUGGAAUGCGCAGAUAUCAGGAGGAACACCGAUGGCGAAGGCAGUUCUCUGGGCCGUAACUGACGCUGAGGAGCGAAAGCGUGGGGAGCGAACAGG
rnacentral:rRNA from 1 species